CCGCUUGCAGGGUUUGGAUGCACUCCCUGCCUUCUCACCUUGCACCCAGGUACUCGGGCUUAGGAACAGCAGCAAGUUGUGCCCUCUGUCCCCUGGGACUUUCCAUGGCACGACCCCCAGCUCUGUGCACCAUGUCCUCUGUCCCUCUCAGCAGCCUUGGAAUGUGAGGAAACAGAGAUGACGAGACCGGCUGAGGUCACCUGGCAAACCGGUGGCUGACCCAGGAUGAUAAGAUGACAGGGAUGCCAGAUGGGGACAUUGAGGCAGAGAGAAGCAAAAGGCUUUUGGAAGGUCACACAGCAAGUCAGUGGCAAAGCUAGAAGUCAAGCCCAGAGGAUUUCACUCUACACUUGUCAAAAGCCACAGGCUAGGCCAAUGUGGGCAGAGGGGCAAGGCUGCUGGAACCUCUGAGAUGGCUGGCGCAGCCCCUCCUUGCCGGCCCGGGGUGGCCACAAAUGCAAGAACCGGGAAGGGCCCUCUUGGCACCUGACCCUCACCUGGCACUGUCAGCCCUUGACCACUUCCCCGGUGGGUAGGCAUGCCACCUGUGUCUGCACCCUCCAGCGACCAGGGGCUCAGCUGUUCCCCUGGAUGCCUGUGCUCUCCCUGCUCUGCCCUGCCUGAGCGGAAUCUCCUCCUGCCCUUUGAAUCCACCCCGCAGUGGGAUCUGGCAUCACCCUGUGGACCUCCAGACCUGCCUGUUCCCCAGCUCUGGGACAGCACAUGUGACUCCUUAAGUCUUCUCGGCUGUAGCCCCUCUGACCUCUACAGAUCUAGUAACUUUUCUGAAGUCCACAAUCUGUGGCUGUGGCCCAAGGAGCUCUAAGGGCAGUUUGAGGAAUUAAAAUGAAGACAGUCCUGCAGCCACCUGUGUAUGUGUGUCAGGGCUGGCAGGGAAGCGGUGGCUUCAGGGCUCUACUUCCAUCCAGCCUCCGCCACCUUUGCCCCCACGGUGAAGGCAGCCUAGUGCACUGUUUCCAGGGUCUGGCCCUUUUAAAUUUAGCUGCGGGGAAAAAGCAGUUUGUGCAGGUCUGGAACUUGGAGACAAUCAGCAACAGGAAAAAGUCAUCCGAGGGGAGCUUUCAGUGAAUUAUGGAGGUAUUGUUCCUGCGCCCAAGGAGCCAGGGCUGCUGGUCCAAACCUCGCUGACCCAGCCCAGGCCUUUGGGGCAAAACAUUGCCUGGAGCUGCGUCAGGACAAC
ensembl:lncRNA novel transcript